CACUUCCUAAAUACUAAUUUUCACUUCCUAAUUUUACACAUAUACACUUCCUAAAUAUACACUUCAUAAAUAAAAUAUACACUUCCUAACAACACCACAACAUUGCAAUUGACCGGAAAAUCAAAGCAAACACAAAAUACAAAACAAAUAUAUACAUUUCCUAAAUACUAAAUACCAAUAUACACUUAUUAAAUAACAAUAUACACUUCCUAAAUACAAAUAUACACUUCCUAACAACACCACAACAUUGCAAUUAACCGGAAAAUAAAAGCAAACACAAAAUAAAACUAAAGCUCAAAAACGUACUCGAGGAGGAGGAGGAGAGGCCGGAGGAGGAGCAGGAGGAGGCCGGAGGCCGAGGAGGAGAAGGAGGAGGAGGCCAGUCGGAGCAGGAGGAGGAGGCCGGCCGGCCGGAGCAGGAGGAGGAGGAGGAGGAGGAGGCCGGGAGAGGGAGAGGGAGAGGAGGCGGAGACCGGGAGAGUGAGAGGGAGAGGGCGGCGACCGAACGACCGAGGGAGCGGAGGCGGAGGAGGGGAAAUUCGGAGAGGGAGAGGAAAAGGAGGCUAGGGUUUACAACCAGCCGAGCGCUGGGUUAUACCCGAACACUUUAGCCGAUGAAAUAAUUAUUUCGUCGGCUAAAGGUAAUAAUUUCUUCGGCUAACCUAACACUUUAGCCGACGAAAUAAUUAUUUCGUCGGCUAAAGAUAAUAACAUCGUCGGUUAAGAUAAAAUUCGUCGGCUAAACCUUUGAAAUUCGUCCGCUAAACCUAUGAAAUUCGUCGGCUAAACACAAAAUUCGUCGGCUAUAACCAUUUAAAUUCGUCGGCUUUAUAACUUUUUAUACAUUCGUCAAACUGUGACUACUGCUCGUGAUGAUCAAACUUUAGAACGAAAAUCCGACCGUCAGAUCUGACCAUCAUGAUAAAAUACAUGUAUGGGAAAAAAUUCAACUUGAUCCGACAAGGUUAAGGGCUCGAUCCGGACGGUCAAUCCGUUAAGUCAAACCCCUAAACGCACGGAAAAGGUCAUUGGACUGUCUAAAUUACAUAUUUUGGCCGGACCUUCAACUGAAAAUAGUUUCAAACCGAUGAGACGUAACAAGUCUUAUAAAAAUUUUAUGCAAAAUAACCACCGAAGAUAGGGCUACCCAUAGGGAGAAAGAAUGGAAAAUUGCAUUGACAGCAACUAUACGGCACCGAGACAUGACCGGAAUACCGUGAUUUUUCAACCGUAGACGUA
rnacentral:lncRNA from 1 species